CAGCGAAGCCCGCCGCCCCGGGGGGCCCCGGGCCGCCCUCUGGAGCGGGGUGUCGACGCUGCAGCCGCCGCCGCCGCCGCCUCGGGAGCCGGAGAAGGUGACCUGACUCAACUCCAUUGUUGGCAGCUGCUCUGAAAGUGGAAAUCAGGACAGCAGAGGACGUCAGGGAGUUCAUCUCACUGGUCGCUGGUGUCUGCGGCUUGGCUUGGCUGUUUAUAAAUGCCCCUAGCAGCAUCCUCGGCUCUCCCCACACCCGUGCCUUCUGUUGCCUCCUGGAGUCCCAGGGCCCUGCCCCGCCACACCCGCUCCUGUUCCGCCCAGGUCACCGAGUCUGCUCCCUGCCUGCCCUUGGUGUCCAGGACUCUGCUCUCCUCCCCUGCGGUUCGGGGUAGAUGCUCAGGAGGUUUGGCAUAAGAAACUUCGCCUCCUUUUCCGGUCCUCUUCCUGCCACGCCGACAACAGGCAUUUCACGUUUCCAGCCCAUCUUCACACUGUGGGUGAGGCCAGCUGCUAGGCGCAAGGUGGCCCAUGUCUAAACUCUUCACAGCUGAUGACACAUUGCCUGGGCUGUUUGGGUGGUGGUGAUGGGGUGCCCUGGGUGUGGGCAUGGGGUUCAGAUUCAGGAGGAUGUCCUGGGAGUGAGGGCAAUGUCAGAGGCCAAUGGCUGGCCUGUAGGUCUUGACCUUUUUUAGGGACAUGUCUGAGGCCUUGGGGACUCUUUGGAUUUGUGUGGGCCGCAAACAUUGAUUGACCUCUGAAAACCAACCAUGUUGAGCUGCAGAUAGGCCCUGGAGAAACCCCUAAGGAGAGUGCUCUCCCACACUCAGGGUUUGAGGUCUGCCUGUGUGCAUGGGGGCCCAGCCACUCUGCCUCCAAUUCCACCGUUACCCCCACUCUGUUGAAUGCUAGAAAGUUCUCUUCAAAGCCACUCUACCCCAGUGGGGGUGGUCCCAGCCUCAGCAGAGCCUGCGGGGGCCUGACUGGUUGACACUGACUUCUGCAGUCUGCAGGUGGGUGUGUUGUUGGGGGGAAGCAUCGCGACCCCCAGCUGCAGGCCCAGCUCGGAAGGUGUUCCUGUUGGGUGGCGCUGGCAGUGGACCUCGCGGCUCAUCUUGGAGUUUGCAUCCAGCCAAAGCCCAGAGAGGGGCUUGAGCCCACAGUCCUUUAGUUAAAAUCGCAUACCUGGUAUCAGGACUGAAUGAAGCCCAGCGUCUUUAUGUUUUGUCACGGAAAGAAUUCAGUGUGAGACAAAGUGGUAAGUGCAUUUAGAGAGAUACACAUUCCAUAGACAGAAAGCGAUCCGUCUCAAAGAGCAAGAUGGGCCUUGGGAGAAACACAAACCACGGAGUGUGGGCCAUCUCAGAAGGCAAGAGGCCCCGGAAAGUGGGCUGGUUAGUUUUUUAUAAGCUGGAUAAUUAGCAGGAAGCUUCCCAGGUGGCUCAGUGGUAAAGAAUCUACCUGUCAAUGCAGGAGACCUGGGUUUGAUCCCUGGGUUGGGAAGACCCCCUGGAGAAGGAAAUGGCAACCCACUACAGUGUCCUUGUCUAGGAAAUCUCAUGGACAGAGGAGCCUGGUGGGCUUCAGGCCAUGGGGUCGCAAGAGUCGGACACGACUUAGUGACUAAACAACAACAGCGAGUCGGAGGUUUAUUCCAACUAUUUUGGAAAGGGGACAGAGACUUUUAGGAAUUGGGCCACUGCUCACUUUUUGGCCUUUUAUGCCCGGCCUCUGGACCGUCAGGAUGCCCCUGGCCAUGCCGUGUAGAUAAGAGCCACAAUAAGCGUAUAAGGAGGCUCAAGGUCCUCUGGAAGUUGAAUCUUCCACCAUCUUGGACCCAGUUGGUUCUAACCGGUUUAUGUCCUAUCAUCAAGGGCUCUGUCGUUGUCUCAGAGGCUGGGCCCUGCCCCCUUCUCUCCUUUUCAAAGGCAUUUAGAGGCCUCAGGCCCUGAAUAAGAUCUGACCUUCAGAGCUACCAGCUUCCCUGGUAGCUUGGACGGUAAAGCGUCUGCCUACGAUGUGGGAGACCUGGGCCCGAUCCCUGGGUCGGGAAGACCCCCUGGAGAAGGAAAUGGCAACCCACUCCAGUAUUCAUGCCUGGAAAAUCCCGUGGACCAAGGAGCCUGGUGGGCUACAGUCCAUGGGGUCGCAAAGAGUCGGACACGACUGAGCGAAUUCUCUUCUCUUCUCUCUUCUCUUCAGAAGGCAUCUCUGCAGGCUGUCAGCUCCGAGAGCAGGUGAGCCCUGCAGAGAGACCCAAACAGGACACACAGACAGGUGUGGAUGGAGACAGGAGAGGACUCCCUGGGCUGCCCCCGCACCUGGCUGCCAACCUGUCACAACUGAGCCUGGGCUGAGGAUCUGGCCCUGGAGAUCAAGAACCUUCCAGACCUUCGAUUAGAAGCCUCAUCCCCGUGGAGCGUACACAAGCCGUACAGGCGUGGGCCAGAGCUCAUGUCUCUGCUGCACCAAGCCCAUUUCCUCAGCUGUCCCGAGGUGGCAAGGUGUUUGUUAUCGGCUCCUGGGAGGCACCGCCGUGGCCUGGGGCAGACUCUGACUUCUGGUUCUGAGUUGACUCAGGCCGGAGGGACUGGCACUCCCUCCCAAGUCCCAAGCAUCUGUCCACCCUGAUAGGGCUCGUUUGUGUGUCUGAUGGGGCUGGUUUGUGUGUGGUUGGAACCCUCCCCCUGCUGAAUCAGGGCAGACGUCUCCAAGGGUUUUAUUUUUAUCCUUCAGCCGCAUGUGUCUGAAACCACCGAAUCAGGAAGGUGUCAUAAAUUAAAUCUCUACAGCAGUCCCUGCGGCCUGGCUCCCUGCCCAGAAUGCCGAGGGCCCCAGGAGGAGGCUUCUGCCAGUUCCGUGAGCAGCCUGGCUCUCCCAGCUGACGGGUGCUGCCCACGGAGGGUCUACGAGGUGCCAGGUGAGGUCUUGGGUGCUUCCCACACAGGUUCCCACCUAUAGCCAUGGAGUAGCUAUCCCCACUUUACAGAUGGGGAAACCGAGGCUGGGAGGUGAGGCUUGUCCCAGGUCACCCUGCAGGUGAGAGGCAGAGCUGCCACCCCAGCUGGGUCUGCCUGUGUCCAGAGGCUGUGCCGCCCCUUGCGCAGAGCGGAAAAGACAGAGACCCCAAAGGUCACUGUUGCUGAGUCUUACUCCCUGCUGCAGGACAGGCCAAUAAAUGGGAGAUGAGCUGCUGGGGCAAAGAAUAGCAAUUACUUUGGACAGCCAGCACACCAAGAAGGUGGUGGAUUUGUGUCCCAGAGAACCAUCUUCCCUGAGCUAGAGUUCAGGCUUCUUUUCCUUCUUUUUUAUUUUCUGGCUGUGUUGGGUCUUAGGGGCAGCAUGUGGGAUUCUCGUGGCAUCCUACAGACCUUUCAUUAAGGCCCAUGGACUCUCUAGUUCAGGCACAAGUGCUCAGUUGUUCCGCGUUCCGUGCAAUCUUAGUUCCCUGACCAGGGAUCAAGCCCACGUCCCCUGCAUUGCAAGGUGGAUUCUUAACCACUGGACCACCAGGAAGGUCCCUUCAGGCUUCUCUCAUACUGAAACAGGAGAGCUAAAGUCCUGGUUUCCGCCAGAUGCUGGAGGGGACGUGUUCCUUUCUUCCCUCCUGCAGCCAUUCACUGGUGGGCCUGAUCAGGAGGUUUCCUGUGAGCUGAGCAAAAGUCUUUUAGCUUAACUCGCAUUACCUUGGAAGCAGGGUUCCUAGAGAUGGGCCGUCGUGUAUCAUUUAAGCGGACAGGUAUCAUCCCUUUUGUGGUUAACUUGUGCACGCGUGCGUGCUAAGUCAGUUCAGUCGUGCCCGACUCUGUGACCCUAUGGGCUGUAACCCACCAGGCUCCUCUGUCCAUGAGAUUUUCCCGACAAGAAUAUUGGGGUGGGUUGCUAAUUUCUCCUCCAGGGGAUCUUCCUGACCCAGGGACUGAAACUGCACCUCUUAUAUCUCCUGCCUUGGCAGGCGGGUUCUUGACCUCUAGCGCCACCUGAGAAGACCCAGUUAACUUGUAAUCAGAUACAAAGUUCUUUUCUACUCUAUCGUGACCACUGCUGCGGGAGGAGAGUGCAAGAGAGGUGAGCCUCCAGCUCAGGCUCACAGAUCCAGCAGCUUCUGGAGGAGGUGAUGCUUGGGCUUGGCAUGAGGGGUUUGGAGAGAGAUGGGGAAGGCACGUAAGGUGAGGGAUGUGGCGGGGGGGGGCAGGAUAUGGCUGGGGCGGGUAUUGUGGGGCAGGCAUUGUGGGGCGGCCGGAGGAGGGGCUCAGACUUAGCUGUGUGGGCAAAGCUGGCCUGGUCUGAGCACGCUGGGUGGGUGAGGAGUGCCCUGAGGUGGGAGAGGCCCAAAGGGGUGGGCACAGCAGCUGCUCUAGGACUUCCUCUGCAGUGUUGCUGAGCAGUCUGUGGCCAGGCUGACUCGGGUUCUUUUAUAGGCAGUAUCUUUUCUGUCUCUUCUUGGACGCUUUUGGCAUUUUUCUCUUCAUCGUGACUGUUCAGAAAUUUCUUGAUGGUGAUGUCUGGCUUUUCUGUUGUAACUAUUUCCUCUUGUGUUCACUUUUUAAUUCAAAUGUGACAUAUAUUAAAUGCAAACAUUUUCAGAGUACAGCCCCAGGAAUUUUCACAGUCGUCUACACUUGUGUGACCCCCCACCUGGUCCAAAUGCUGACCACUCACUUCCGGCCUCCACUGGGCUUCUUAGCACCCCCAAAGGAAGCCGCUAUUCUGACCACCAGCCCCACUGAUUGUUUCUGCCUAUUCUUUUUUUUAAAUCUAUGAUUUUAUGUAUUUGUGUUUGGUGGUGCUGGGUCUGCUGCGGUGCACAGGCUUUUCUCUAGUUGUGGCGAAUGGGGGCUGCUCUUCAUUGUGCUGCAUGAGCUUCUCGUUUCCGGGGCUCCUCUUGUUGGGGAGCAUGGGCUCGAGGGCCCUUGGCUCAGUGGUUCUGGCGCAUGGGCUUAGUUGCCCCACAGCAUCUUCCCAGAUCAGGGAUCAAACCCGUGUCUGCUUCAUCGGCAGGUGGAGUCUUAAUCCCUGGACCACCUGGGAAGCCCAGUUUUGCCUAUUGAACGUCACAUCAGUGGAAACAUAUAGUCUGUAUGCUUUUGUGUAUUUUCUUCUAAAUAAACUUUAAAAAUUUUAGAACAAUUUUGGAUUUACAGUUACUGGGAGGAGAGCCCAGAGAGUUCUCCUGUAGUCGUGCUCAUUAAUGUGGUAGAUUCGUUACAGUUAGUGAUCACACAGAGAAAUUUUAUUACUAACUAGAAUGCAUACCUUGGAGAAGGCAAUGGCACCCCACUCCAGUGCUCUUGCCUGGAAAAUCCCAUGGAUGGAGGAGCCUGGCAGGCUGCAGUCCAUGGGGUCGCUGAGGUCGGACACAACUGAGCGACUUCACUUUCACUUUUCACUUUCCUGCAUUGGAGAAGGAAAUGGC
ensembl:lncRNA